rnacentral:rRNA from 1 species
CGUCUAUAUACGUAUAGCAUAUCAAUAAGCGGAGGAAAAGAAACUAACUAGGAUUCCCUCAGUAACGGCGAGUGAAGCGGGAAGAGCUCAAAUUUGAAAUCUUCAAGGUUUUACCUUGACGAAUUGUAGUUUAUAGAAGUGUUUUCUGUUAGUAGAGUUUGUAAAAAGUUCUUUGGAAUAGGACAUCAUAGAGGGUGAGAAUCCCGUAUUUGACCAUUACUUUCCUAGCUUUGUGAUACACUUUCAAAGAGUCGGAUUGUUUGGGAAUGCAGUCCAAAAUGGGUGGUAAAUUUCAUCUAAAGCUAAAUAUUGGCGAGAGACCGAUAGCGAACAAGUACCGUGAGGGAAAGAUGAAAAGAACUUUGAAAAGAGAGUUAAACAGUACGUGAAAUUGUCAAAAGGGAAGCGUUUGACACCAGUGUUGUUUUUCCGAAAAUCAAUUACGAACUGUUUUAGUUUUUGAGGAGUUAUGACUUCAUCGGCUUGCUCCCUUCUUUAUGAAACUUUCUUAAUGCACUUUUCGGUUAACAAGUCAACAUCAAUUUCUUUUGUUGUAAAAGGGUAUGAGGAAGGUGGCUUUCUUUUCGGAGAAAGUGUUUAUAGCCUUGUGCCUCUGCAAUCGGAGAGAUUGAGGUCUGCAGCGUAGGCCCUUCGGGGUUAGAUACAGUUUGUGCUAAGUUAUAGCUUUUCAUAGACAACUUGUUGACUAUGUUUAGUCUUGUAGCUUACUCGCUUAUGCUAUUUUACCUACGCUUAGGAUGUUGACGAGACUGUCGAUCUC